UACGUAGGUGGCAAGCGUUGUCCGGAUUUAUUGGGUUUAAAGGGUGCGUAGGUGGUCAAUUAAGUCAGUGCUGAAAUAUCCCGGCUUAACCGGGAGGGUGGCAUUGAUACUGAUUGACUUGAGUAGUGUUGAGGUAGGCGGAAUUGACGGUGUAGCGGUGAAAUGCUUAGAUAUCGUCAAGAACACCGAUAGCGAAGGCAGCUUACUAAGCUCAAACUGACACUGAUGCACGAAAGUGUGGGGAUCAAACAGG
rnacentral:rRNA from 1 species